GACAGAGGGUGCAAACGUUGUUCGGAAUUACUGGGCGUAAAGGGCGCGUAGGCGGUUUCGUAAGUCCUGUGUGAAAUCCCCCGGCUCAACUGGGGAACUGCACAGGAAACUGCGAGGCUUGAGUUCGGGAGAGGGAAGCGGAAUUCCGGGUGUAGCGGUGAAAUGCGUAGAUAUCCGGAGGAACACCGGUGGCGAAGGCGGCUUCCUGGACCGACACUGACGCUGAGGCGCGAAAGCCAGGGGAGCAAACGGG
rnacentral:rRNA from 1 species